GUGCUCGCUUCAGCAGCACAUAUGCUAAAAUUGGAACGAUACAGAGAAAAUUAGCAUGGCCCCUGCGCAAGGAUGGCACGCAAAUUUGUGAAGCAUUCCAUAUUUUU
rnacentral:snRNA from 1 species